AACUAACAAGGAUUUCCUUAGUAACUGCGAGUGAAGUGGAAAGAGCUCAAAUUUAAAAUCUGAUAGUCUUAUGGCUGUCUGAGUUGUAAUCUAAAGAAGUGUUAUCCAUUACUGGACCAUGUUCAAGUCUCCUGGAAUGGAGCGUCAUAGAGGGUGAGAAUCCCGUUCUUGACAUGGGCUUCCAGGGCUUUGUGUGAAAUACUUUCAAAGAGUCGAGUUGUUUGGGAAUGCAGCUCUAAAUGGGUGGUAAAUUCCAUCUAAAGCUAAAUAUUGGCAAGAGACCGAUAGUGAACAAGUACCGUGAGGGAAAGAUGAAAAGAACUUUGGAAAGAGAGUUAAACAGUACGUGAAAUUGUUGAAAGGGAAACGCUUGAAGUCAGUCAUGUUGAUACAAAGAUCAACCUUGCUUAUUUAUUUGCUUGGUGUAGUCUCUGGUUAACAGGUCAGCAUCAAUUUUGACCAGUGGAUAAAGGUUGAGGGAAUGUGGCAUCUCUCAGGAUGUUUUUAUAGCUCUUGAUUGCAUACAUUGGUUGAGAUUGAGGAAGUCAGCAUGCUGUAAUGGCCAGGUUUUUAUAAUCUUUGUUAUAAGAAUCAUGUUUUUCAUGCUUAGGAUAGCUGGCAUAAUGGCUUUAAUC
rnacentral:rRNA from 1 species